rnacentral:lncRNA from 1 species
GGCGGGUCUACGGAGGCCUCUUUAGGCCACAGAGCAACGUAAAGCCUAGGCCUGCAGAGACUGCUCAGUCACAGUUGAAGGAGACCUACUGAGUCCUGAGGACAACCAACAAAGGCCUUAACGGCACAGAAGGAAGUCCUGUCUUCUGGGAUUGAGUUUGGUUGUGACAUCAGAAAGUUGAUAGACGUGAUCGCUAAGAAUCUUGCCGAAUAUUCUAGGACUACAAGUAAAAGAGACCCUAUUUUCUGUGCUGGGAAAAGGCAAGUCAAGCCCAACUCUUCUUUUCUGGAGCUCUAUUAUCCUCCUUCCACCCCACCCCAAUAACCCAG